rnacentral:rRNA from 1 species
CCAAACCGACACAGGUGGUCAGGUAGAGAAUACCAAGGCGCUUGAGAGAACUCGGGUGAAGGAACUAGGCAAAAUGGUGCCGUAACUUCGGGAGAAGGCACGCUGACACGUAGGUGAAGUGAUUUACUCAUGGAGCUGAAGUCAGUCGAAGAUACCAGCUGGCUGCAACUGUUUAUUAAAAACACAGCACUGUGCAAACACGAAAGUGGACGUAUACGGUGUGACGCCUGCCCGGUGCCGGAAGGUUAAUUGAUGGGGUCAGCGUAAGCGAAGCUCCUGAUCGAAGCCCCGGUAAACGGCGGCCGUAACUAUAACGGUCCUAAGGUAGCGAAAUUCCUUGUCGGGUAAGUUCCGACCUGCACGAAUGGCGUAAUGAUGGCCAGGCUGUCUCCACCCGAGACUCAGUGAAAUUGAACUCGCUGUGAAGAUGCAGUGUACCCGCGGCAAGACGGAAAGACCCCGUGAACCUUUACUAUAGCUUGACACUGAACAUUGAGCCUUGAUGUGUAGGAUAGGUGGGAGGCUUUGAAGUGUGGACGCCAGUCUGCAUGGAGCCGACCUUGAAAUACCACCCUUUAAUGUUUGAUGUUCUAACGUGGACCCGUAAUCCGGGUUGCGGACAGUGUCUGGUGGGUAGUUUGACUGGGGCGGUCUCCUCCUAAAGAGUAACGGAGGAGCACGAAGGUUGGCUAAUCCUGGUCGGACAUCAGGAGGUUAGUGCAAUGGCAUAAGCCAGCUUGACUGCGAGCGUGACGGCGCGAGCAGGUGCGAAAGCAGGUCAUAGUGAUCCGGUGGUUCUGAAUGGAAGGGCCAUCGCUCAACGGAUAAAAGGUACUCCGGGGAUAACAGGCUGAUACCGCCCAAGAGUUCAUAUCGACGGCGGUGUUUGGCACCUCGAUGUCGGCUCAUCACAUCCUGGGGCUGAAGUAGGUCCCAAGGGUAUGGCUGUUCGCCAUUUAAAGUGGUACGCGAGCUGGGUUUAGAACGUCGUGAGACAGUUCGGUCCCUAUCUGCCGUGGGCGCUGGAGAACUGAGGGGGGCUGCUCCUAGUACGAGAGGACCGGAGUGGACGCAUCACUGGUGUUCGGGUUGUCAUGCCAAUGGCACUGCCCGGUAGCUAAAUGCGGAAGAGAUAAGUGCUGAAAGCAUCUAAGCACGAAACUUGCCCCGAGAUGAGUUCUCCCUGAGACUUAGAGUCUCCUGAAGGAACGUUGAAGACGACGACGUUGAUAGGCCGGGUGUGUAAGCGCAGCGAUGCGUUGAGCUAACCGGUACUAAUGAACCGUGAGGCUUAACCUU